rnacentral:rRNA from 1 species
AGAGUUUGAUCAUGGCUCAGAUUGAACGCUGGCGGCAGGCCUAACACAUGCAAGUCGAGCGGUAGCACAGAGAGCUUGCUCUCGGGUGACGAGCGGCGGACGGGUGAGUAAUGUCUGGGAAACUGCCUGAUGGAGGGGGAUAACUACUGGAAACGGUAGCUAAUACCGCAUAACGUCGCAAGACCAAAGUGGGGGACCUUCGGGCCUCAUGCCAUCAGAUGUGCCCAGAUGGGAUUAGCUUGUAGGUGGGGUAACGGCUCACCUAGGCGACGAUCCCUAGCUGGUCUGAGAGGAUGACCAGCCACACUGGAACUGAGACACGGUCCAGACUCCUACGGGAGGCAGCAGUGGGGAAUAUUGCACAAUGGGCGCAAGCCUGAUGCAGCCAUGCCGCGUGUGUGAAGAAGGCCUUCGGGUUGUAAAGCACUUUCAGCGGGGAGGAAGGCGUUAAGGUUAAUAACCUUGGCGAUUGACGUUACCCGCAGAAGAAGCACCGGCUAACUCCGUGCCAGCAGCCGCGGUAAUACGGAGGGUGCAAGCGUUAAUCGGAAUUACUGGGCGUAAAGCGCACGCAGGCGGUCUGUCAAGUCGGAUGUGAAAUCCCCGGGCUCAACCUGGGAACUGCAUUCGAAACUGGCAGGCUAGAGUCUUGUAGAGGGGGGUAGAAUUCCAGGUGUAGCGGUGAAAUGCGUAGAGAUCUGGAGGAAUACCGGUGGCGAAGGCGGCCCCCUGGACAAAGACUGACGCUCAGGUGCGAAAGCGUGGGGAGCAAACAGGAUUAGAUACCCUGGUAGUCCACGCCGUAAACGAUGUCGAUUUGGAGGUUGUGCCCUUGAGGCGUGGCUUCCGGAGCUAACGCGUUAAAUCGACCGCCUGGGGAGUACGGCCGCAAGGUUAAAACUCAAAUGAAUUGACGGGGGCCCGCACAAGCGGUGGAGCAUGUGGUUUAAUUCGAUGCAACGCGAAGAACCUUACCUGGUCUUGACAUCCACAGAACUUUGCAGAGAUGGUUUGGUGCCUUCGGGAACUGUGAGACAGGUGCUGCAUGGCUGUCGUCAGCUCGUGUUGUGAAAUGUUGGGUUAAGUCCCGCAACGAGCGCAACCCUUAUCCUUUGUUGCCAGCGGUCCGGCCGGGAACUCAAAGGAGACUGCCAGUGAUAAACUGGAGGAAGGUGGGGAUGACGUCAAGUCAUCAUGGCCCUUACGACCAGGGCUACACACGUGCUACAAUGGCAUAUACAAAGAGAAGCGACCUCGCGAGAGCAAGCGGACCUCAUAAAGUAUGUCGUAGUCCGGAUUGGAGUCUGCAACUCGACUCCAUGAAGUCGGAAUCGCUAGUAAUCGUAGAUCAGAAUGCUACGGUGAAUACGUUCCCGGGCCUUGUACACACCGCCCGUCACACCAUGGGAGUGGGUUGCAAAAGAAGUAGGUAGCUUAACCUUCGGGAGGGCGCUUACCACUUUGUGAUUCAUGACUGGGGUGAAGUCGUAACAAGGUAACCGUAGGGGAACCUGCGGUUGGAUCACCU